UUGUUCAUCUGAGGGUAGAGACUAGAGAGAGAGAGGAGCUGAUGGGAGGUUAUUGUUCAUCUGAGGGUAGAGACUAGAGAGAGGAGCUGAUGGGAGGUUAUUGUUCAUCUGAGGGUAGAGACUAGAGAGAGAGGAGCUGAUGGGAGGUUAUUGUUCAUCUGAGGGUAUAGACUAGAGAGAGAGAGGAGCUGAUGGGAGGUUAUUGUUCAUCUGAGGGUAUAGACUA